rnacentral:lncRNA from 1 species
UCCAAAGUAUAGCAAUAGUCAUAAUUAAAAUAUCUUAAUUCUGUCAUUUCUUUUAUUGUCCAUUGUGUGUGCUUAUUUGAAAAAUAUUUUUAUGGUUUCAAAAAAUUGAUCAAACUAAUGUUCUCUUGAAAUUGCAAAUUAAUUUGAUCCAAUUCAAUUAUCCAAAUCUUCUUUUAAAAUUUUAAGAAAUGAUAAGUAAAAUUUACCAAUUCUCUUGUGUAAAUAAACAGCCACAACUUCUAGAAAAUGACAGGUCAUCAUCAGUUAGUUAGCUUUCUUGUUAACAAUUUUUGGACUACUAAAUUUUGACCUAAGAAUAACUCUUUUAGAAUACAAUAUCCUUUAAUUAGUUGUUUGGUAUAUGUAUGUGAACUCUUCUGUGAUAUCUUUUUAUAUUGAUAGAGCUGUACAUUUUUUUCUUUGCUAUGACUAGGGCAAAAAUUAAUGAUUAUUUACACACUUGAUUUAAUUUUUUAGACUGUUUACAAUCUUAGAUACAGUAUCUGAUUUAAAAAUCACUAUUCCAUACAUGUUUCUGGAUACACAAUUUAGGGAAGGGUUUUUAUGUGAAUUCUUUGUAUCAUUUUAAAGUUCGUGUAUUGAAAGGGAAAACAUAGACUCUGUUUUCAUCACAUAAAUUUAGAUCAGGUGAAAGCUUUUGUAAAAAUACAUAGUACAAUGAGAUUUAUAUUUGUCACUUGAUUAAGUGAACUGAAAACAUAAUAGAAAUGUUAUCUUAGAACCGUUAAAUAAAAAAAAUUCCAGAUGUAUUAGUUUGAUGAGCAAUUUUAUGCUAUCUUCCUUUUUACAUGCCCAGAAAGAGAAAUUAAUCUUAGCUCUAUUGUCAUUCUUAAUUUAGAAAGAAUAUAUAACUCAUAAAAUUUUAGCUUCACAAGCUAACUAUAAAAUCAUAUAUAUAUAUAUUUGUUGUUUUUCAUCAGGAUGC